GACAGAGGCCUCGAGCGUUAGGCGGAAUCACUGGGCUUAAAGCGUGUGUAGGCGGGCCCGGAAGUGGCUUGUGAAAUCCCACGGCUCAACCGUGGAACUGCUGGGCAUACUGCGGGUCUUGGGCCAACUAGGGGCUAUCGGAACAAGUGGUGGAGCGGUGAAAUGCGUAGAUAUCACUUGGAACGCCAAUGGUGAAAACAGAUAGCUGGGGUUGUGCUGACACUGAGACACGAAAGCCAGGGGAGCAAACGGG
rnacentral:rRNA from 1 species